GGUUUUAUAGUCAAUAUAUGAUACUAGACUGCAAUUCUAGGGUAGUAGAAACAGAAUUUUACUAAGACUU
rnacentral:tRNA from 1 species